rnacentral:lncRNA from 1 species
CCCCAGUUCAAUGUGUUUUGAUAAAUAUAUACAGUUAUUUAAACACCACCACAAUCAAGAUGGAACAUUUCCAUCACUCCAGAAUUCUCUCUUGUACUUCUUUUCAGAAAACCAAGAUCAGAAAUACAAACUGAAAUCAAGAAAAUGUUUUUGUGACAAACAUCCCCACCUGUGUGGUGUCCCUUUCAACUGAGCUUGGCAUACUUCCUCAGCCAAGGUAAGCAUUACCACUGUCCCGAGACCUCCCAGGUUUCUGACAACAUAGGGCGACUAAUAAAGAAAACUUCCUAAAAACAAAAAACAAACCAAAAACAAAAAAGAAAACUGUUCCUCUUAUGCCCCCAUGUAAUCAAUGUAAAUUGUGAAGACCUAAUAAUUCGGACUCUGCUUUAGGAUUUAUUUUUAUAACUAUUGUAAUAAGUUUAUCUUCAUACAUGUAAAUUCAUGUAUGAAGAUAAAAUAUAAACAGAACAUGUUUUAUUUGCUUAUCAAGAACC